AGAGCAUCAAUAGGAAUACCACUUUUUUAUCCUUUUAUAUGCUCCCAUGCAUCAUACAAACUCUCUUCUUCGCCUUGCUCAAAUCUAGCUAUAUCGUUUCUGAUCUU
rfam:Arabis alpina cultivar Pajares scaff_72601_1_contig_3, whole genome shotgun sequence.